AUGAACGCUAGCGGCAGGCUUAACACAUGCAAGUCGAGGGCAUCGGGAGUAGCAAUACUUGCCGGCGACCGGCGCAAGGUGCGUAACGCGUGAGCAACAUGCCCGUAUCAGGGGGGAUAAUCCAUGGAAACGUGGUCUAAUACCCCAUAGUAAUUAUGUAAGGCAUCUUAUAUAAUUUAAAGCUUUGGUGGAUACGGAUUGGCUCGCGUGACAUUAGCUGGAUGGUAAGGUAACGGCUUACCAUGGCUACGAUGUCUAGGGGUUCUGAGAGGAAGGUCCCCCACACUGGAACUGAGACACGGUCCAGACUCCUACGGGAGGCAGCAGUGAGGAAUAUUGGACAAUGGAUGGAAAUCUGAUCCAGCCAUGCCGCGUGCAGGAAGAACCGGCCCUAUGGGUUGUAAACUGCUUUUGUAUGGGAGCAAUAAGGGCUACGUGUAGUCCGAUGAGAGUACCAUACGAAUAAGCACCGGCUAACUCCGUGCCAGCAGCAGC
rnacentral:rRNA from 1 species